GGGAUCCUUAAUCUGCUAGACAAAUAUUUUGACAUGAGGAAGAACCAAUGCAGGGAAAGUUUGGAUAUUUACAUCAAGUUCAUACAACCAAAUUGACACAGUUUCUGAAAGUUGCAGAGCAAGUCAGAAUUGACCAGAGCAGCAUUCCAUAUAUUACUCAGG